UGGAUGAUGUGGUUAAUUCGAUGCAACGCGAAAACCUUACCACCUUGACAUGUACGGAAUCCUUUAGAGAUAGAGGAGUGCUCGAAAGAGAGCCGUAACACAGGUGCUGCAUGGCUGUCGUCAGCUCGUGUCGUGAGAUGUUGGGUUAAGUCCCGCAACGAGCGCAACCCUUGUCAUUAGUUGCUACAUUCAGUUGGGCACUCUAAUGAGACUGCCGGUGACAAACCGGAGGAAGGUGGGGAUGACGUCAAGUCCUCAUGGCCCUUAUAGGUGGGGCUACACACGUCAUACAAUGGAUGGUACAAAGGGUCGCCAACCCGCGAGGGGGAGCCAAUCCCAUAAAGCCAUUCGUAGUCCGGAUCGCAGUCUGCAACUCGACUGCGUGAAGUCGGAAUCGCUAGUAAUCGUGGAUCAGAAUGUCCACGGUCGAAUACGUUCCCGGGCCUU
rnacentral:rRNA from 1 species